rnacentral:piRNA from 1 species
UGACAUGGAAGUGUAUUCCUUUUCAGGUC